UUAAAUUUUGAAUAAUGCUUUUUGCAUGUGAUCACAGUCUAUUUUCUGUCUUGAGCAGAGAGAGUGUGGGGAUCUUCUGAGGAGAUCUGAGGGCAUUCCCACUGUUCCAGAGCAAAUAAAGUGUUAAGUAUCACAAACAAAGUGAAAUGUUUAAAAAGGGCAUUUUUAGUGUGAUGCUCUCCUGCCACAAUAAUUACCAACAAAAACCUCACACGGUGUCUCUGGAAAGAGUCUCAGCAUCUUGUACCAAUUCAUCUGAGUAUUAACACAUUCACAUCUGACACCCAGUGGGACUGGGACCUCCUUGCCAAAACAGCAAUCAGAAGCUGGGUCCCAAGUGGGUUUCUCACACCCCAGUGAGGACAGUAACCAAGGAUAAUCCCCACGGAGAUGCACUGCUGCCUCUGCAAAGAGCAGUGCUGUUGUUUUGUAAUUUAAGAGGUUGUGUGCUUCUUGCUGGAAGCACUACAAAUCCUUGUAAGAGGGAUUCUGCUUUUCAUUUUGUUCAUGAUUUCAACAUAGUGGGCUUUAUCACCUCUCUGCUAGCUUUGCUAUGAGGCUGCUAAAGUUCUAGUCAGAAUUGCACAGGAGUGGCACAAUGCUUUUCUGCUGCUGCUUCAAAAAGACUGCAAUGGAAACUGCUUAUGUAAAAUCAGCUCUAACUUUUUUUGGUUUGUCUCUGUUAAUUGUAGAGGGAUUGGACUAGACGACCUUUAAAGGUCAGUUCUAACUCAAAUUAUGCUAUGAUUUUAAAAUUUCAUGUACUGAGCAAGGUAUUUGGGAUUUUUUUUUUGCUUUUAAUUUAGAUAAUUUUUUUUUCUUUAUUUUUUUCUUUUUUUUUUUCCAUAGGAAUAGAAGGACAGAAAGAGCUGCUUUUCUUUUUUAGAUAUUUAAACAGUAAUGUUUAUUUAUUUAUUCUGUUUAUUUAAACAGAAAUGUUUAUUCAUUAUUUCUGAGCUUUUGUUCAUGUUUUACUAGUCCAGCCAUCAGAGCACCCGCUGGAUUGCAAUGUUAAAAUAAUUGCAAAGACUCUUGAGAAAUGUUGUGUUCCAAAGAAAAUUCUAGAAAGCUAUUAUAUCAAAGCCAAACAAAUAAUUAAAUGAAUCAUUACUUCCCACCUCGUACUCAUUGCAGUGUUAUUGCAUAAUAAACCUGAAUGGAAGGAGAAAGAAUAAAUCCAGAGAGAAAUCAAGUCUAUAUGCUUGAAAUUACUAGAAUUCAUUUGAAUAGAAACAAAAGCAAGAAGGAAUGAUGGUGGUGAUCAAUAUCAGCCUAGAAAAUGUCAUUUAUUACAUCUAUCCUUGCUGCUGUAUUGCCUUUCUACAGCAACUCGUGAUUUGAGUCUGCACAAAUCUAGUAGCUGGACUCCUUUAGGAGAUAAUUUUCUUCUGCUGCUACUGAAAUCUCUGCCUCUAGCCUCAAUAUCAGAAAGAAAUAAGAAAGUAUUACCAUGCAAAAGAAGCAUGAGAUGGGGAGUUAUAGCACCUGAACUCUGAAUCCUUCUUCUUAACAUGCUUGCUCUUAAGACCAGCUUUUUGUUUUGCCCACCUGUACUAACAAGGCCAUCUGAGGAGUGGUGGGGUAAUGCUCACAGCUCUUAAUGACUUGGGAGGACUAGGGAUGCUUAAUGCCUUCCAAACGAAGUUCAUGGAUGCUGGAAUUUCACACUCCUGGGCACAAGAAGAGAAAAAUUCCUGGUGCUGUAAGGCACUCUGUAGUCCUGGUCACGGAGCAGGAUGAGGCCGUAGUUCCAGUUUCUCAACUUCAACCUUGUAGCAGUAAAGCAAUGCAGCAGGAGCCUUACAAAUGCUGGUUUGGUAGCAGAUAUUAACAAACUGUCACUUUGUCUCUGACUGGCACUGGCCUGAUCACAGCCUCUUUAUUUCCCAUCAUCCUAUAGGGAAUAGACAUCUCCUCCAGAUAAGGCAGGGCUGGACCUUGCAGUAGGAGAACAGGCAACCCCAGCAGCACCUGGUCUGAGGGAGGGAGAAGUGAAGGGUCACCAGGACAAAUAGCAAAGCACUACACAGGACCUGAAAGCAACCUCUGGCAUGAAUCUCUGUGGUGUGAGAGUUCUCUUGCUUUGCAUCAGGCUGAUAAAUAUGAAUUUUCAUUUGGCUAUCUCUCAUAAGUUCAGAAUGGAGAUACAGUGAGACUGAACUGAGAUGAAAUUAAAAAUUAGGUACUUAACAUGUAAUAGUGGCAAGGAGGUAGGUAUCUGAAAUGAUGCUUUGUAUUUGUAAAGUGUCUUACCAAACCCAAACAUGGAAUGGAAACCUGAAUUGGUGCAGCCAUGCAGCAGCCAUAAUUUCCAUAUAAAUAACUGCCGUAAGCAGUGCUUCCAAUGAGAGAAAAUCCAGGCAUGUAUGGUUAAGGUUUGCACAAAGUCAAGCAAAACCUGAUUACCUAAAUUUUCAAUGGUUUCAUUUUAUGGGUCAAAAUGACAUGUCAAAACAUACAACAUUAUGUACUCUAUCGAGUAAUAAGUGGUAUUUCUUAGCCCUGUAUUUCUUAGCCCUGUAGCUGUCAGAACCGCUCCAUAGCCCCGAGCUACAGACAUAUUAACUUAGAGUUCCAAGGGUGAGUCAGACACGUUGUACAGCUCCAACAUGAUUUCUGGAAUAGAGACAACACAGGGUUAGCACAUAUGUUGUCAUAAUACUUAUCAAGAAGAGGAAACAUUUGUCCAUUUUGACAAAGAUGACUGGAAAGACAUGGGAAUAAGCAGUAUGUGGCAGGAGGUAAAGAGUAGAUGCAUUCUGAAAUUAAUUAACAAGAUAAUUAUUUUGAUCAACCAUUAAACUGGAAACACAUAUAAGAAAAAUGAAGUCUUUGUAAGAAAAAAAAUGAUACACAACCAAGCCUUAAUUUUUGGCUGCUGUAAUUUUACACAAUAACUAUCUCUAUAAUAAGAAGUACUUUAAUACUCUGGAUAUUUCAGUGGGAAAGUAAGAACCAUUUCAUCGUAUCAAGCAUGAAAUAUAAUUUGAUAAUAGGAAAAAAAAGCAGAAAUAUGAGUAAAGGAGAGGUUUGUCAUGUUAUUUGCCAGUGACUAUCAGUGAAGUACAGAAAACAUUUGUAUAUAGAAACAAAGUGAACCAUUUCCAGCGUAUUUCUGUGGUGGAUAAUGUCACAUUUGCCUGAAUAAGCUAUUAUUAGGCUCCCUCUGGUUUGACAAAUGUGUUUCAGCUGUCAGAUUGUGUCUAAAGGCAGCCAUUCAAUUCUUUGUUUUUAGUCUCAAAUUACAGUUGACAUUUAUUGUUAAACUCAAGGUGCCACCUUACAAAACUGAUUCAGUCUUUGUGAUUUUGCAUUUUCUACUAACUAAUCAAUAGAUAAGCAGUUUACAUGGCCUUUGGCUUCUAGUUCAGUCACUAGCUUUUAACAAAAAUCUCUUUCUUGGAAGCAACAAAGACCUUUAAAGGGAUUGAAACAGUCAUACAUAAUUAAGCUUUUCUGCCUGUAUAUUUAUGCUUUGAUACCAGCACACAGAGAAAAAACUUAAAAUCUGCAGGGAGUUUGCCCAUUAAAAAAAGCCCCUCCUGUUCUCAGUUUAUGUAUUUUCUUUACUCAUAGACAGAGGGUUUCCGUGCUGCUUGGCAGGACUGAGCGAGGAAAAAGACAGAACACUUGUAGAAAAUGCAGUAGUGGUAACACUCUUUGUAAUUCUCUAGGCAUUUUGGAAUUUAAUCCUUGCUGAGAAUUAAUGGGCUUUGUACUGGGAGGUUGGCUAGGAUGCAUUGGCUGCAGAGUUGAUGACCACUUUUCACCUCUCGUUUGUGGCCCAUAGGAAAUUGCUGUGUGAGAGUGCCUCAAAAUACUAAAGAUAUUUCUUUGAUAAGAGUGGAGGAAGAGAGAGAAAAGAUGAUUCACAUUCUCAUGUUUGAUAUUUCCAAUUGCUGACAGAAGACCAAAGAAAUUUGUCUUUCAUACUCAGAGAACUUAGUGAGGAUUGCAGAACACUGUACUGCUGCUGCCAAAUUCUGCACUCCAAGUUUGGUCUAACAAAGAAGACAAAUGCUGAUUUAAGAUGGAAAAACAAACCAGAAUGUCUCCAUGAAUGGAUUUUGCAUUAUUUAACAGAAGCAUUGAGUCUCCACCCUUUUAAGUUAAGGAAAAGCUAAGUCAUGUUAAGCAAGAAAUUAAGGGUAAUUGAUAUCACUCAGUGAAGUAUUUGAUCCUUGUUCCAGCCAGAUGUUGAAGGUGGCAGGUAAUUGUGCACAUAAUUAUUACUGGUGAAAACUGAGUACAUGGAUAUUUAUGUGACUGCAAGAUAUAUUGCAAGAUAUAUUUCAUCUUCCUCCAUCAAAGCUUUUAACAAAUAUGUAACCGGUUUUCUGUCUGUUAGUUGUAUAAAACUUUGGACGUGCAUUGGACAAGAGUAAAACCUGAUAUUUCUGCAUUACAAAAGCAGAAACAAACACUUUAAUAUUUGACUUGUUCAGAAUACUACAGAAAUUAUACCAGUAAAAUACAUUUGAACACCUGGAAUCACUGAGAACAGAUAGUGAAUAUUUUCUGUCUGAAGUAAUUUCAGGUGAUGACCCUGUUAAACAAGAGCCUGACACUGCACAGCUUGCGGUUGUGUCACAAAAGAACUAAAAGUGUCUGCAGUGGAAGUAAUCAUCAUCUAGUAAAGAUGACGUGGUAAAUUUUGUGUAGAAAAAUAUGUAUAAAAGCUCAGGGUUAUUAUUCGCAAAAUGACUGACAGGUGCUUUUUAUCUUUUCUUCCCUCCUGGAACCACAGUCAUACUGUUGUCAUUGGUUAGAGGUAAAAACCAAAUGGCUAGAACAAAGUAUCAAGGAAAUAUAAGUACUUUUGGCUACUUAUGUCAUUCAAAUAAACCCUGAAUAAUUACUUAACCAAAUUGUUCAGUUGAAUAUCCACAAGAAAAUAAGAACUUUUAUCUGGGAGGUGGUUGAGACCAUGCACAGCAUCACAUCAUUGUACCUCUGGGGCUUCAAUAUAACGGCUUACAAGUUAGUAAGGAUCCUUUGUGAGCUCAAGAAAUCUUAGAAACUAAUCAAAAUCUUCUUGCUUUGAGGUAAAAAAAUGUAUCCGUAUUUCUUUUUUCUAAGUAAUUUGGUAAUUAGUUUUAAGAAAAUCUAACCUGCAAGAAUAAUUCAUUUGUAUUUCAGGAAUAUUGUACAUAGUUGUAAUGAUUCAGAGUGAAUCUUUUGCUCUGCAAAAAAGUUAGAUAUUAUGAGGAUUUGUUUUGCCUUAGAAAUGUAAAUUUUGUAGAACUAUGUUGGCAUGUUUAACAUUGUAACAAUAUGUGUCCUAGUUUUGAUUUGGAAAAUUAUUUGAGCAAUGAAAAAAACAGAAAAUUGGCAUAUAGAGCAACAAGAGCUGAAAAUUAUAUUAAUUUUGUUAAAUGGACAAAAUAAGCCUCCUGUAGCUUUACAUCGUUUUGAGCCUUGGAGUGUGGGGUUUUUUGUAAUACUUAAGCAAAUAUUCAUCUGCAAAUGGAAAUUUCAUUUCACUAUUUUCCCCCUGAGAAAUGGAAAUGAAUAUGGGUGUUAUGAGCUCCCCUAAAAGCCGGGGUAAUGUGUAAUGUAUGAGUGAAAGAGUGGUGGAUUUAGGCCAGAUAUCCAUAAAAUGUUGCAUCCCUGAGGUUCCUAGAGAAGGAGUUGUGCUAUCUUUUCUUUGCACCUUGUUUCAGUUCAGAUGGCUAAUUCUUUGUUGUCAAAGUGCUGCUUGUUCCUGUACUCUUCCCCUCCUUCCAAACUCUCAGCUGAGCUGCAAGGCUGGUUGGACAGAGCUUUUUCAGUGGUUUUGGACUGUGGCAGCUAAUUUUCCAGACAUGGGGGUGAGACAGUGCCAUUUCCUUCCUGCGGCUGAAUCUCUGCUGGCUCUCAGCUGUGGCGUAUACUCCUGACCUGGAGAGCUUGGAAUUGACUUUUGGAUUCACAGAAGCAGCACAGUAUGCUCCUCAGUGCGAGACAGACAUGGGGCUCCUGGAGCAGGUCCAGUGGAGGGCUUUGAAGAUGACUGUGUUGGGUCUGGAAAAUGCAUGCCUCCAGUGAGAAAACAAACAGUACAAAGUCUGAGGAACAACAAAUCGGUGUUGGAUGGACAAUGUUAAGGGAAUGACCAAAAAGAUAUAGGUUUGUCGGAGCAAGAAGAUGACUUUUCAGGCUAGAAACUUCAUCAGAUUUUGAAGUCUGUGACUUAGAAACGACUCCUGAGAGAUUUCCCAGUGGUAAAAUUAUACAGAAGACCAGAUAAUCAAAUAAGAAGGAAGAGUGCCUGAACUCGCAGACAAAAAUGCAUUUGGGAUGCCCAGGAGAACAAACUCAAAACUGUGGUUUCAUGGUUGGAUCACUUGGCACAGCUGUCGAUGCGGUCAAAGCGCUUGGCUGCACCGGUGAACGUGGAGAGAUCCUGAGUUUGGUGUUGGCUUGUUCAGAGCACCCUUAUCCAAAGCCUGCUGAUCUGCAGUUACUGUUGUGUCUUCUGGUAGCACCUCACUGACCUGUGUGCCAUAUGGACAGGACUGGGACAGCCCAACUAUCAGAGCAGUAGGGAAGUGGGAAGGUGUGUCUGGAACACAGGCUUGACACACUGGGGAAAAGAAUUGUCUUCUUCCUGAGUGGUUCUUGUCUUCUUCAUGAGGCUCAGGAGAAAACACAGGCAUGCAUGCCUUCAGCAGAGAGCGCAGGCAGUCUGAGUUAGUACAGACCAAGGAACAAAUGACAAGACAUGAAUUUGCCUGUCAGCACGUGCAUGGUUUGGGCAGGCAAUUCAGCCUUCCUGAACAUCACCCUGCUAAACACACAGCAAAUCAAAAACAUGCCCCAGGAUGUGGCAUGCAGUAAUUGCAAAAGAGUGAAUAAAAAGGAGACAUUUGUAUUUCUUCUAUGUUGUACAGUUUCUUCUCUUUUAUGUUGUACUGUUCUGUAUUUUACAAGCUGUCCCUUUCUAUGGGAAUCUUAUUUUCAGCUCAUACAUAAGCACUACAUGAGCAAGCAGUAAGCACAGUUAAACAUGUAAAUCUAUUUAAAUUUGAAUAACAUUGUAGAAUAUCAAAGGAAAUAUUUCAUGAGUAAAGUUUGUCAUGGUUUAAAAUAGGAAAAGCACUCUACAUUAAAAUUUCCAGUUUGAUUGUUUUGCUUUCAGUCAUCACAAUACACGCGAGUUUUUCAACUUGUAGAGCAGUCUUAAAAUUAAUGUGUUAUGAAAGUAAAAUUAUUUUGCUGCACUUUGCAUCCUUUUCUUCUUAUCCAAGAGCCUUCUGACAGCCACCUAAUACCAGCUAGAUUUUCAAGUGUCCCUUCUCCUUAUUGCAGAUAAUUGGAAGCAUCUGCUCCAUUGUUAAAAUGUGCACUCCUGUGCUUACAGCUGAAAACUGUGAUCUCAGCAUAUCCAAACAUUUCUUCAUCUUCCCAGCUUCAAUAUAAUUUUCUAGUUUUGAUCAUGUUCUGGAGUAAGGAGUUGGUUAUUCUAAGUAGUUAUUCCUUGAUUUAUGUCAAUUUGAAGAAAUUGCAGAACUGCUGUAAUUUUCAAGUCAAUUGUUCCUCCUCACACCACCUGUGAACUAGAAAGGAUGUGCUUUCCAAAGGAUAUUCAGUGCUCAGUUGUUAGUUCCUUGGCCAUUCCUGAAAUUUUUCAAGUGUUGCAUCUUGGCUGAUAAACCAUCAGCUAUUCCGUGGAACAGGAGAUGCUGAGUAUUGGAAACUAUCAGUGUGGGUUUGUGAGGAUCCUCUCAGGCUGGCUACCCUACAUAGCAUCCAAGAAAAAGAGAUUCUUAUACACUGAAAGGACCCAGCAGGUUUAUAUCUGGUAUUCUUCUUUCAGCUCUUGCUGGUUACAGGGGCCAAGGGCUCGACUACAGGGGACUGUCUCAAUGAGAGUGUCCAGCUUGUGACAGGUUUAGUAAAGAUGGUAAAGAGUGGAAAAGGGUCUGCAAAUCUUCAGCAGAGGUUGAUAUUCCUGUCUCUGAAGGAGACUUCUUUUGCCUAUAUACAGUAGUUCCUGUUCAGAAAAGUUCAGAUACAAAAUAUAUGAGUUGCUGGUGCAGGACAGCAUUGUGCAAAGAAAGCACUGUUAAAAGAACUUGGAGACUAGUGUAGCUCUUGCUUUCCUGCAUUUGAUAAGUAUUAUAGACAUUCUAACAGAUUUCAACAUCCCCCAAGAAAUAGUUAUCUUAAGUCUAAUUUGAUAAUGCAUUUUUUUUACGUUAAGAAUCACUGAGAUUCUUAAUUUGUGUCUACAAGCAAAUUAGGUGUCCAGUGUCCCACACAAAGCCAGUCUCCUAGAAAACCAACUGGUCUAGUAAGUGACUCAGCUCAGCCUGAGGUCAAGUCUCACUCCCCGGGCUCUCCCUACUGACUCUGAAGAGAGCUCAGACAUCUGUAUCUGAAAUCAUAGCACCCAUAAGUAGAUGGCUGGGAUUGGUUGUCUUCAUUUGCAAGCUGAAGGACUCCCUGAAUCUUGUGUUGUCAUUGCAUUGAAAGAGGUAUGCUUUUUUAGGAGUUAAUGGUGCUGCACAUGAGUGCUUGGAGUACUCUUGUAAAAAGUAGGGGACACUGUGGGGUUUCUUAAUCCUUUUUCCCACUACUGGUCACUUAUUUAUGAAGCAAAGAUUUAAAUGUCUUUUCCUUCCUCCUUCCCAUGAUCCUUUUACAAAACAUAACCCUUUCUACCAUCCUCUCUUUCUCUUUAAAUCACCAUCAUUUUGAAGCUGCUAGCUGUCGUGGUUGCAGGGGGAGGUCAAUUUUUCUAGGGAGAGGUGAGCAGGCUAAUCAGUAAUCAGCUUUUUUGCUGGCACCUGGAUUGGUCACUCGGAGGUUUGGACACACCUCUGAGGACACAAAGAGUUAAAAGCAGGACUCUAGGGGGGUUCGGCUUCUUUUAGAUUCUGGUUUAAGUGGAGAGACGUCUCAGGUCUCCUUACCCUGCCCAGCCACGAGGCUGGGUGGGGGAGGGGAAACACAUGGUCGGGCUCAGGUAAGCCAGAGCCCUAAGGGGGAGAAGAGAGUGGACAGGACUGGAACUGAGCUGCCCCGUCCAGGAUGGAGGGGUGGAAAACUGUGGAAGUGCCUUCUGUGUGUGCUCACCCCCCUCCACCCCCCCCAAACUCCGGGAGAAGGUGCCCAGCCACGUGGGGGUUUGCGGAGCCUGGGAGUGCCUCAGCCUGCAGCACCCUGCUGAGAAGAAACUGUUAACCCUUGCUUGGCAGAAAGAAACUUUUCUUAGACAUUGAUUCUCGUGACUGGUAGUUUCAGAAGAGAGAAAGAAGCGGCCUGGGACCGAGAUGAUAAAGCACGAUUAGAAAGAACCCGAUGGGCAAAGAAUGAGAAGAGUAGCUUUCUGAGCUAGACUUUUCUUGCAUAAUGUCAACCAUGGACUGAACUUAAGUCUCUUUUGAACAUAAACUGCAUUUUAAGGAGAUACAGCUGCCCCUGCUUUUGUUACAGUGACUGGCACUUGAAGAGUGGAGCGAGCAGAGAAGAGAGGGGGAGGGUGAGGUGGUGCCCUCUGCCCUCAGGGCAGACCUGCUCCUGGAACCCCGGCCCCUGGGUAAAAAGGGGAGAGCUCAGCAUGCAAGUAUCCUUAAAAGAGCCCUGUAUGCAGUUUUCAGCCUGUGGACAGCGGUGAGAGCGCUGGACAUAGGAAAAAGAGAGUGUCACCCUAGCAGACUUCUCCAGGCGGUGCCAGGGGUGACAUGAAAACACAUAAGGGGUGGACCUGUGUUUUCUGAAGAACAGUCUGUGGUGCGAGAGAGACUCCUCUCUCCCUUGCUGAAUUGAAGAUUAGUUUGUUUGUUUGUUUGUUUGUUUUUUGAGUGGUGAUUGUUUGAUCUAAAACCCAAAGGUUUGGUCUAUAAAGAGUAAAGUGUAGAGGGUAGAAACUGAGAGAAGAGAAGAGAUGUUCUGAGAAGUUUUUAUUUCUGUCUCUGUGUGUGUUUAAAAGUUUUUCUGUCUCUGUUCUUAUGUAAUGUAAUAAAGUUUUAGUGGUUUUUUUUGUUUUCAAGAUUUAAGCCUGCUCUGCUCUGUUCCUAGUCACAUCCCACAGUAGUUGUUAAAGAAAAAACAUAUAUUCAUGAGUACAUUAACAUCUGGCCAGUGCCAACCCAUGACACUAGCACAUAGGGAGUUGUUUUCCCUAGUUUGCUUAAUGACUGCAAAUAGCAGUUUAAAGGAUGAGUGAAAACACCGUGACCAGACCCCUUUUUGGCAAGCAUCCAAGCUUGGCCUGCCAUCCCUCUACAAUCUUGGAGGUCCUCACUACUUCCCCCACAGCUUUUGUGCUAUCUCCCUUUAACUUUCUCUUCCAGCUUAAACACUUCCACCAUUCCUUUCAUAAGUACCACAACACUUUGAGUCCAACACCUCUUAGAGCCCUUCCCCAGUAGCCAGCGUUUGCUGACACACUUUUUCUUAAAAAUAAUGUGACCCCUUUUUUGAACUUCUUCAGUUUUAUUUCAUUUUCCUUUUGUGUUACCUAACUGUGCUGCCGUCCAUCUCCAGCUCUUUCUUUUCUUCUGGACAUGAAAUAAAAAAUUCUAUUCUGAAUUGUCUCUGCUAUUUGAUGCUCUUUUUUUUUUUUUUUUUUUUUUUUUUUUUUUU